rnacentral:rRNA from 1 species
UUUUAUGGAGAGUUUGAUCCUGGCUCAGGAUGAACGCUGGCGGCGUGCCUAAUACAUGCAAGUCGAGCGGAUAGACGAGGUGCU